GUCUUCUUCAGUGUCAGUUACUCUUGAAAGGAAUUGAAAGACUUUCGUACCAUGGAACCAGCCUACUGACACCGCCCAUUGGAAAAUAACGAGCAAACAUCUCUGGUUCCCACUGGGAAGUGGUUCCCACUGACAACUCAAUGUUUGUAAACAAAAAGUCGUUUAGGGACUAACAAUCAAGGAGGGCGAAAUAUUUUUUGCCGAAAAAUUUUUUUUCUCACAACAACAGUUAUGUUAACACAAAUAAACGGUUGCAAACUAUCCGUUUGCAGUACAGAAGUUAAUUUGAGUUGAUAUGGUUAGCGUGGAACACAUUAAAAUAUCGGAGAAAAAUUACCCUAAUAUGAUUACGCCAAUGCACGUUGUUGCUCUUGGGUUUGAUGUUGACCUCGAAAACAUGGUUGCCUAGCACCGGGCUGCAUGGAACACAAAAAUGUAACUUGUUUUGAUCAUCUUUAUAUUUUUCUCGGAAAGACAUCGUAAUGAAAAGCAAGAUGUGAAAGUUUCAUUAAGAUGGGACUGACUUGCGAUUCACGGCAGUAUAGUCAAAGAC